GACGUAGGGUCCAAGCGUUGUCCGGAUUUACUGGGCGUAAAGAGCGCGCAGGCGGUCGUUCAAGUCGCGUGUGAAAGCCCCCGGCUCAACUGGGGAGGGUCACGCGAUACUGAUCGACUCGAAGGCAGGAGAGGGAAGUGGAAUUCCCGGUGUAGUGGUGAAAUGCGUAGAUAUCGGGAGGAACACCAGUGGCGAAGGCGACUUCCUGGCCUGUUCUUGACGCUGAGGCGCGAAAGCUAGGGGAGCAAACGGG
rnacentral:rRNA from 1 species